GCCGCGUGAGUGAGGAAGGUUUUCGGAUCGUAAAACUCUGUUGUGAGGGAAGAAUAAGUACGAGAGUAACUGCUCGUACCUUGACGGUACCUCAUUAGAAAGCCACGGCUAACUACGUGCCAGCAGCCGCGGUAAUACGUAGGUGGCAAGCGUUGUCCGGAAUUAUUGGGCGUAAAGCGCGCGCAGGCGGUCCUUUAAGUCUGAUGUGAAAGCCCACGGCUCAACCGUGGAAGGUCAUUGGAAACUGGGGGACUUGAGUGCAGAAGAGGAAAGUGGAAUUCCAAGUGUAGCGGUGAAAUGCGUAGAGAUUUGGAGGAACACCAGUGGCGAAGGCGACUUUCUGGUCUGUAACUGACGCUGAGGCGCGAAAGCGUGGGGAGCAAACAGGAUUAGAUACCCUGGUAGUCCACGCCGUAAACGAUGAGUGCUAAGUGUUAGGGGGUUUCCGCCCCUUAGUGCUGCAGCUAACGCAUUAA
rnacentral:rRNA from 1 species